rnacentral:tRNA from 2 species
GUCUCUGUGGGGCAUUCGGUUAGCGCGUUCGGCUGUUAACCGAAAGGUUGGUGGUUCAAGCCCACCCAGGGACG